ensembl:lncRNA
GAGAGCACAUGAGUUAAAGCCUCCGCGUUCACGUGGUUCCAAUAGGUCUUCAGUAGUUACCACUUUAUGCGGUGAGACAUCGUGGUCUUAGUGAAGCAUUCGCUUUAGUUUCUUAAGAAAAAAGAGAAGAAGCCAGAGACUUUAAAAGUGAUUGUCCCAGGGUUUCCUGGUGGUCCAGUGGUGAAGAAUCUGCCUUGCAAUGCAAGGGACACCAGUUUGAUCCCUGAUCCAGGAAGACCCCACGUGCCACGGAGCGACUCAGCCCACAGCUGCUGAGCCUGUGCUCCAGAGCCCGGGGAACCACAACUGCUGAGCCUGUGCUCCAGAGCCUGUGCUCCGCAGGAGGAGAAGCCACCCACAGUGAGAUGUUCUUGCACCAAAACAAAGAGAAAGCCCCGCUUGCCGCAACUAGAGAAAGCCCACACACAGCAACGAAGACCCACCACUGCCAAAAAAUAAAAUAAAUAAAUGCGGUUCACAGGAAACCUGAGCUUGGCAAUCCCACGUGAAGCAGCUGGUGCUCUUAUUUUCUUGUUGUCAGCCUUCCUCCAGCAUCCAUGAGUCACAGCGUUGUCUCACGGGGUGAUAACCCCUCUCCGCAGGAGCACCCUCCCCAUUCUCUAUCUUGUUUACAGCUCUGGCAGGAUGCUCUGGUUGGGAUCAGUGGGGAUAUGGGAAGGCCUUUCCUUCCGGAGUGUCAGCCAUCAGCGCCCACUGCUGUGGGAUCGUCCAUCCAGAGACUGAGCAGUGAGCGAUGGGAGGCCCGAGGGCAUGGCUGGAGGUGAAUGUCAGCGUCCUCCGUCUUGACCAUCACAGCCACGAUUUCACAGUGCCUGUGAGAUGUGAACGGGCGAAGCGGAGCGUGUUGGAAAGAGCACGUCCUUAGGAGUAAGAGGGUGUGUGUUCUGGCUCGUUGAUGGCUUUCACUUCACCUACUCAUUCCUCAUGUGUGAAAUGUACACAUCCCGGUCCAGCUACCUCAUUAUGAGGAUGGAAAGAUGGGGACAGGUGAAAGUAUUUUGUAGAUAAAAGAAAACUCUCUACAACUGAAUAUCACUCGCUGUAUAAUGCAAGUUUUAUACUCAUCAUCUCUUGCUCUUGCAGCAGCUCUGAGACUCAGGAAAUAAUCAUCGGCCCAUCAACUCCUUCCUUCAUCAAAAAUUCAUGGAGUCCUUCCUAUGUGACAUGCUCCGUUCUAGAUGUCAACAUUUAUUGUAUCAUUUAGUUUAUUGUUAACUCACUUACACCCAGAGCUGUGCUGAGCUGUAUUGUAAUAUAAAGCAAAAGGAAAAACCAGUGAUACCGACCCUACUUUUUUCAUCAUGCAUCUCUUUACAUUAACUUUAAUUUUUUAAAAAUAAUGCAUGAAAAUGUUAUUUAUCUGAUGGCUGAGUUUUUUGGGGUGCUCCUUUGCAUUCUGUGCCUGAUUCAAGUGUUUUGCUUACCUCACUCUGGUCUUAGCUCUGCUAAUCACCCUGUGCUGCUGCUGCUGCUGCUAAGUCGCUUCAGUCGUGUCCGACUCUGUGCGACCCCAUAGACAGCAGCCCACCAGGCUCCCCCAUCCCUGGGAUUCUCCAGGCAAGAACACUGGAGUGGGUUGCCAUUUCCUUCUCCAAUGCAUGAAAGUGGAAAAGUGAAAGUGAAGUCGCUCAGUUGUGUCUGACUCUUAGCGACCCCAUGGACUGCAGCCUACCAGGCUCCUCCGUCCAUGGGAUUUUCUAGGCAAGAGUACUGGAGUGGGGUGCCAUUGCCUUCUCCGAUCACCCUGUGAGGUAGGCAUUAUCCUAAUCAUGUCACAAAAAAAGAAAUUUUAGUUCCGGGAAAUUAGCUAACUUGCCCCAGGUUGCAGUAUGAAUAAGUGGUAAAGCAAUAAUUUAGAUCCAGGUCUCUGUGACUUUAUCCCACUGUGCCCUGCAUCUUUUAAUAGAUGGAAUG